ACUUCGUGGUUAGGACAUUGCACAAGAUUUUCAUUAAAUCUCUCCCAAACUUCAUAUAGAGACUCUCCAUUGAGUUGAUGAAAAUUAAUGAUUUCUUGCUGCAAUU